AUUGAACGCUGGCGGCAUGCCUUACACAUGCAAGUCGAACGGUAACAGGUCUUCGGAUGCUGACGAGUGGCGAACGGGUGAGUAAUACAUCGGAACGUGCCCAGACGUGGGGGAUAACGAGGCGAAAGCUUUGCUAAUACCGCAUACGAUCUAAGGAUGAAAGCAGGGGACCGCAAGGCCUUGCGCGUUUGGAGCGGCCGAUGGCAGAUUAGGUAGUUGGUGGGAUAAAAGCUUACCAAGCCGACGAUCUGUAGCUGGUCUGAGAGGACGACCAGCCACACGGUGAAGGGAGCACUGGAACGAGGCCGACGGUAGGCCGCCUUGGGGAAGAUUGGACAAUGGGCGCAUGCGUGAUCCAGCCAUAUCGCGUGCGGGACGAAGGCUCGCGGGGUUGAAAGCGCGAUUGGUGGGAAAGAAAAGAAGUAGGUUAAUACCCCGCUGUGCGGAAGGUGCCCGAAGAAUAAGAAACGGCGAACUUAGGG
rnacentral:rRNA from 1 species